rnacentral:rRNA from 1 species
GAUGAACGCUAGCGGCAGGCCUAACACAUGCAAGUCGAGGGGUAACUAGAGUGAUAGCAAUAUUACUUUGGCUAGACCGGCGCACGGGUGCGUAACACGUAUGCAACCUACCCUAUACUGGGGCAUAACUUCGAGAAAUCGGCGCUAAUACCCCAUAACACUGCGGAGAGGCAUCUCUUUGCAGUUAAAGCUCCUGCGGUAUCAGAUGGGCAUGCGUCCAAUUAGCUAGUUGGUGAGGUAACGGCUCACCAAGGCUACGAUUGGUAGGGGUUCUGAGAGGAUGAUCCCCCACACUGGUACUGAGACACGGACCAGACUCCUACGGGAGGCAGCAGUGAGGAAUAUUGCGCAAUGGACGAAAGUCUGACGCAGCCAUGCCGCGUGCAGGAUGACGGCCCUAUGGGUUGUAAACUGCUUUUGUACGGGAAUAAACCCUUCUACGUGUAGGAGGCUGAAGGUACCGUAAGAAUAAGCACCGGCUAACUCCGUGCCAGCCGCCGCCGUAA